rnacentral:lncRNA from 1 species
UGGAGGUCAGAGGUCACAGCCAAGUUCGUCAGCUCCGUGCAGUCCCAACUGGGCAUGGAAAUGCUUGCGCUCACAGAGACUCUCUGUGCCCGUCGGGAUUCAGAAUGGAGAAAAUAUGAAAUGAACAGCCGGAGGCUCCCCAGGCUGCACCACCCACCUGAUAGGAGAGGAGCCCAUCCCACUGGUGUUGCUGGGCAGCCGUGCUAUACAUCCACUUGAGGGCAGCAUCUUUGAUGAAGACGGACAGUGCUCGGAGGAUGAAGGAUGCAAACAGGUUCAGGUGGAUGUAGUUCCUGGUGCAGUGCAAGUGUCUAAGGGAGAAAACAGAGCCCGUUCCUGGCAUGACA